rnacentral:rRNA from 1 species
GAUGAACGCUAGCGGCAGGCUUAAUACAUGCAAGUCGUGGGGCAGCAGGGGUAGCAAUACCCGCUGGCGACCGGCAAACGGGUGCGGAACACGUACGCAACCUUCCUUUAACUGGAGAAUAGCCCCUCGAAAGAGGGAUUAAUACUCCGUAACAUAUAGAUGUGGCAUCACAAUUAUAUUAUAGCUCCGGCGGUUAAAGAUGGGCGUGCGCCUGAUUAGAUAGUUGGCAGGGUAACGGCCUACCAAGUCUGCGAUCAGUAACUGGUGUGAGAGCACGACCAGUCACACGGGCACUGAGACACGGGCCCGACUCCUACGGGAGGCAGCAGUAAGGAAUAUUGUCAAUGGACGCAAGUCUGAACCAGCCAUGCCGCGUGGAGGAUUAAGGCCCUCUGGGUUGUAAACUCCUUUUAUCUGGGAANAAAUGCUAUUUUUCUAAGUGCUUGACGGUACAGAGAAUAAGCACCGGCUAACUCCGUGCCAGCCGCCGCCGUAAG